CUACGAGUACAUGUGUAAGGUUACACACCUGUAGGAAUUCCUUCUGGUCAUUAAAAGGAAAUUCCUUGCUUAAACAUUAAGUGCAUCUGAACAAUUUUUCACAUAUAUGAAGUAUCAGGUGUAAAUUUAAGUUGGAAUUUUUUUUGGGAAAACACAUUGCAUUUCUAGGACUUUUAACCUGAAUUCUCUGGUGGCGAUUUAAAUCACGUGGUCAAAAAACACUUCUCACAAUGAAUGAAUUUCUAUGGCUUCUCAGCUGUAUGAAUUUUCAGGAGUAUAGAAAGCAAGAAAACCCCUCACAGAGUGUGCCCAAAGGUUUUCACCUUUAUUAUUCCUUGGGCAUUUAGAUCUAAAACACUUGUCGCUUGUCAGCGUACAUUAUAUGCCUCUUCUUGUCCAAGUUCUAUGAACUUGAUUUGGAAAACACUUGCCUCAUUGAAUGCAUUUGUAUGGCAUUUUAUGUGUAUGAAACCUCAGGUGUUCAUUUAAAGCAGACCAAAAGUAUUUAAAGUAUUUGUACUAAAGCACUUCCCACACUCUGUAUACUUGUGUGGCUUUUCACCUGUAUUAAUUCUCUGGUGGCCGUAUUAAUAAGACCUUUUGGAAAAGCAUGUUCCAUACUAUGUAAACCAAUGGGACUUUUCACCUAUAUGAAUGCUCUGGUGGACAUUUAAAUGAGAUAUUGUGGAAAAGUACUUCCCACACUGAGGAUAUUUGUCGGGCUCUUAACUUGUAUGAAUUCUCAGGUGUAGAUAUGAAGACGACUUUCCACAUUGUAGAAAUUUGCUCGAAAUUAUGAGAGUCAAUGAUCACACUUACUUAGAACAAACCGCUGAUUUAUUGAGAACACAAAAACCGUGUGUGAGCCAAGCUGACAUUCAGUGAGGCUGCAUGCAUGUCUUGAACUACACGGGACCGAGAACGUUGAUUGGCCUAGCCAUAAACGCACAUACAGGUACGGUGGCUCAUAGAGAACAAAGAGGACAAUCAUUCAGCCAAAUGAUUUACAUCCCUUUUCUUUAGCUCACACUUUAUACAUGAAACAAAUGAUUUACUUAAACCACAUUAUACACAUGAAAGUAUAUGGCAGCCCAUAGAUUGUUUUUUUUUUACUGCAUAUAUUUUGGGUUUGGACUGCAGGUGCGGCCUGCUGUGUAUGGUGCAUUGCUGUUCUCAGUGGGGAAGUGUGCUGUGGGCGUUGGCUGGAGAGGGGACGCGUGUUGUGAUUGCAUGGCGUUUGGCUCUGGUGUUUGUGGUGUGGGGGGAACACUGUCCAUUGUGGGGCUGGUGUUCUAGGAGUCUGGGUCCUCUGCGUGGAGCUGUGGUGGCAGCGGCUCUGCAACAGGAAGAAUGUGGCAGGUGAGUGUUUUGAUUGGUUGGUGGGAUGACUCAAUAUAUUCUCCUCAUGAAUACAUUUAAUUGCAUUCAUUAUUAUAUGCUGUACUUAGUUGUUUAUGUUAAACAGCCAGUAGUGGUGUGGAGGAGAAAUCUCCCUUGUCCUGAAUUAUUUCAUUACAUAAAACAGUUCUUGCAGUUGUUGUCCAGUCUUAGACAUGGAAAUGACUUUUAAAGUUGUUGCUCCAAUAAUUAGUGUAACCAGUAUAACCACCCAAUAUAGCCAUUAUGAGCACUAUAACCAGUGUGCCCAGUUUAACCAGCACUGCUGCUGCUUCUCUCUGUCUGUUUAAGGGGAGCUGGUGGAAGGAGAUGCAACAGAGCACUAUGAUGAUGUCAUCACCAUGCAGCCGAGCCCAGAUGCUUUUCCAGUGUAUCAUGUGACAGACACAAAGGAGAAUUAUGAUGAUGCCAUGACUCUGGACUGGAUUCAAGUGGGGGAGAGUGUUCUGGAUGAAAGCCCUCCAGCUCCCAGGGGGAUGGACUAUGAUGAUGUGGGGGAGUAGCCUCCUGAAAGAGGAGGAGCACUGUGAGAUUGACAGUUCUAACUUUGGAAGUGUUCACCCACAAGUUUGGGUAGAAGAACUUACAUGGACUCCUUUAUCCUACACAUCUCAAGCAAAAUGUUUUAAUGUGAUAAAACCAUAUCCCACUAGAACAACUAUUCAUGAAUUAAUAAUUCACCUGAAAUGAUUUACUGUGGACUCCUUAGCUCAUUCAUAAAUUAGCUCAUUGGAAAUGCUGGUACUUGUAUACAUUGAGAACAAUAGCUUGCAUUCACUGACACAAUGAGACAGUUACUUUUUCUGACCAAGAUGAUGAUGUACAGCUCAAACUACAUGGAGUCAGUACUGGCCACUUCAAUAUGAAAUGAAUGUAUCAAAAUUGUUGGAAUGUAAAAAUGAAAACUGAGCUUUAGCCUUUUGCUUUAGAUUUGUUUGUAUUUCCAUUAAAUCUUUUCAGUUUUGGCUGCUGUGUUCAUCAUGUGCAGGUCAGAGCUGUACAUGUUGGCUCUCUGAUUGACACGUGGAAGGGUGGCCAGACAGCACUUAUCCAGCAUCCCGACAUGCUCCUUUGCAAGAUCACAUUGUUCAAGAUGCUUUUAUUGCACCUAGCUGAUGAGAUUGUUCAUCAUACCAUUUGAGCAGAAUAUGAACAAGGCAGUUAGUCUGCACUGGCUGCUUUGUUACUAUUCAAAACGUUUUCACUACUACUAAUUUCAUAUUGCUUUCAUUACUACUCAAACUUGUUUAAAAUGUUUUAACAAAAAAAUAUUUUUUGACAACCUUUUUAUAUAUGUAGUUUUUAGAUAUUUGAAUUCUAUAUCUUGGAGAAUUAUGCUGCUUUUGAUAGACAAGAUUUUAUAAAAAUUAAAUAUGAUAUUUAGCUAAAAUGCUCACAAUGUAUUUCUUAAGCCUUCUUAAGCAAUACCAGUAUUUUUAACAGCUGUAUGUCAAUAAGACAUUUUUAAAUUAAGCUUAAAGGCUGAUUAAA